GCACACCCUCUUUAUUCAGACACACAUUUGCUCGUUUACUCAUUCACUCACUUUAGGCGUCUAGGUAAAAAAAUGGGGGUGGGAGAAGAGGGUAAACGACGUUUCGUUUAUAGAAUUAAUCGCUAGAAAAA